UCAAUCGGUAACACUCAAAAGAUGGCGGCACUUUUUUCACCAGAGAGCAGAAAGUGCCCCCACAGUUUGAGUGCCACAGGCUGA
rnacentral:pre_miRNA from 1 species